rnacentral:siRNA from 1 species
GAAAAAUUGAUAAACGUAAAUAAA